AAUCAACGCUGGCGGCGUGCCUCAGACAUGCAAGUCGAACGCGAAAGUUCCCUUCGGGGAGCGAGUAGAGUGGCGCACGGGUGAGUAACACGUAGGUAAUUUACCUUCGGGUGGGGAAUAACAGCCGGAAACGGCUGCUAAUACCGCAUAAUGCAGCGGCUCGACAUCGAGACAGUUGUUAAAGCGGGGGAUCGCAAGACCUCGCGCCUGAAGAGAAGCCUGCGGCAGAUAGCUAGUUGGUGGGGUAAUGGCUCACCAAGGCGACGAUCUGUAGCCGGCCUGAGAGGGCGGUCGGCCACACUGACACUGACAUACGGGUCAGACUCCUACGGGAGGCAGCAGUCGGGAAUUUUGGGCAAUGGGCGAAAGCCUGACCCAGCAACGCCGCGUGAAGGAUGAAAUCCCUCGGGAUGUAAACUUCGCAAGAAUGGGAAGAA
rnacentral:rRNA from 1 species